CAUCCUAUCACCACUCAAUAAGUAUUUGGGGCUUGUGUUUUGGAUCCAGCUGUUUAAGAAGAAUGACUGAGAAGGGAAUUAGGCCAUAAUUCUAGAAGCCAGAAAACUUUUGGUGGCAAUUUGGAGAAAUAUUAAAUGAAAAUAUCUUCAACUAGGAGUGAAGAAAGCUCUGGAAGGAAUGUGGAACAGUGAAAGAAGAGAAAAGCUUUACCUUGAUAGAAUCAGGACCACCAACGGACCUUUUCUGUCUCUAGCUUGGAACCUGGGAUCAGAAAGCAGCUUCAAGGCGGGCUUUCAAGGCUGGAGAGGAAGCCAUUACACUUUUAAAAACUGAUGAAUACUGAGGCCCAAUCUGCAUGAGAUUUUGCAAAGCAAAGUCAUGUAGAUUUCUCAUUAUGGAAGUUGCUGAUCCCAGAGCAUUCUCAUCCAAAAGGAAGGAAAUGAGGAUGGGCAGAAGACAGGCCACCAGGUGAGAGCCUGGAAAAUGCAAGGUUCGCUUAGCAUUAAGCCCCAUGGAGAGGCCUAUGUGGUAAGGAACUGAGGCCUCCUGCUAACAGCCAGUGAGAGACUGAGGCCUCUUAACCAACAGCCAUGAGCGAGUCCGCUUGGAAAUGGGGUCUUUAGCUGUGACCCCGGCCAACAUCUUAACAGUAACCUCAAGAGAGACCCCAAGACAGAACCACCCAGCUAUGCUGCUCCUCAAUUCCUGACCCUCAAAAACUGUCAGGUAACAAAUGUUUGUUGUUUGAAGUUACUAAGUUUUGGAGCAAUUUGUUAUGAAGCAAAUGUUUUCCCUAUCAGCUCCUUCCUUAAUUCUUCUCAGUAGCUAGUCCAAAUCCUCAGUGUCCUAACCUCAUUCUCUGACAGACAACAGAAAACCAUCUGUGUGUGUGUGUGUGUGUGUGUGAGAUGAAAGAGGCAAGCUCAUCAUAACUCAACCUAACAACUUACGCCUAUUAACUUUCCAUCCUUUCCUCCCUCACACUGGCAGAUUCAUCCUUCUAAAUGUGCUGUGAAGUUUUUUCCUUUCUGCCUAGAAAAGGGAUGCUGCUUCCCUCCCUAAUAGUUCCAACUCCAACCCCAUUUCCACCUUUUUUUUCCCCAUAAGCAUGAACUCAUACUAGAGCCUCAUCUAAAAAAUAAAAUAAAAUAAAAUUCCUUGACCCUGUAUCUUCCUUCAGCUUUCUCGUCUCCCUGUCGAGAGGAGCCUGUACUUGAUCCUUCCCCUCCCUUACUCCUCUCUCGUACCUCAACACUGUGAGCGUGAUCUCCACAGUGUAUUUUACACUGCUGACCACUCUCGAGUCAUUAAAACUCUCUUUUCUUUGGCUUCUGUUUCUGCAUUAUAUUCGGAAUCUCCUCCCAUCUUGUUGCAUAAACCCAAGUUAGGUGAUUUCAACCAUCCCACUGACAACUCCCAAACACAUGCAGUCUAAAACCAUCUCUAGCCAGACUUUCUUGAAGCCCAGACCGCUUCAUAUUUCAUUCCACUUGAUUAUCCUGUAGGCAUUUCAAAAUAAACUCACUAUCUUCCCCUGAAAACCCUCACUUUGGUAUUUCUGUUAAGGGCACCAUGAACACCCAACUCACCUUACCCCUUUCAACUCCUAAACCAAACUAUCAGUAAAUUCUGUUCAUACUUGCUAAACAUUUUAGUUUUCAUUAUUUCAUUCCUUGUUAUCCUUACUGCUACUACCUUGUCUCCAACAGUCUUGCUUUUUUCUCUAUACUGCUGCCAGAGUGAGUCUUUAGAAAUGCAAAUCCCAUCACUUUACUCCAGUUUUAAGAACACAUGCCUAUUGAAGGCAGCCCAAAUUACCAAUCAUGCCAAACCUUCCAUCAUCUGGCCCCACUUACCAUCCAACUUCCAUCUCUACUAAUCACCGUUCACCACCCUCUUACUCUUUCCCCUCAAACCCACAUUCUCUUGUUGCUCUACUUGCCGUCCCCAAAUGUACCAUGCUAUUUAGGUCUGCUGGUCUUAGAUCAAAAUGUUGCGUGAGAAUCCUUUUCUAUGAUGUCCAUGUGGAGAAUGGAGAAUGCUUUCUAAUCCUUUAAGAAACUGUUUUGAGAAGACUCUUGUGGUAGCUACAGAGGUGUAGCACUGAGCUCCCCUUUGUGAGGGCAGGUGCUGCCCAGCUGUGAGGCAUGCAGUCAGCUGUUAGCUCCUCAGGGUUGGCCUCAGCCCCCGAGUUUGCUUGACUGGGAUCACAGUCUUCAGGGGGCAGCCACAUCUGAGGGAGUGUAGACACUGCUGUCCUAUGGGAGGCACUGACAGGCAAUAUUCAGAGCCGCCCAGCAGGCAUGCUGAGCUUUGCUGGAUGCUGGUACUGCAGCUUGGCUUCUUUAGCCCAAGAUUGCUUUCCCCAUUCCCUUCACAGGCGUUGUUCCUUAAUAAGCCUCUUGCUCCCCAAACUCCAUCUCAGCAUGAGCUUCCAGAGAACCCUACUGUGACACUCUGCCUGAUUCACUCAAACAGAGCUGACUACUCUAACUUUUGCCAGUUGGUCUUUUUUUUUAAGUUUUUUUUUGAUGUGGACCAAUUUUAAAGUCUUUAUUGAAUUUGUUACUAUAUUGCUUCUGUAUCAUGUUUUGGUUUUUUGGCCACGAGUCAUGUGGGAUCUUAGCUUCCCGACUAGGGAUCCAACCCAUACCCCCUGCACUGGAAAGCGAAGUCUUAACCACUGGACCACCAGGGAAAUCCCUAUCUCCUUUUUUUAAUACUAGAAAGGCAGUGAUAAAUAAGACAUUACUGUUGCCUUCAAGGAGCUCCUAUGGUAUUAAUCAUAUCUUAUGGCACUAGCCUCCCCUAGACUCCCAACUUUGGGCACAAAGUACGUGGUCAAUAAAUGCUGAAUUCAACUGAAACCGUUUUACUAUACAAAAUAGAAUAUGGUGAAUUGUGACACUGAUAAACAGAACGAAGAAGGUAGGGAUAGGGACUUCCCUGGUGGUCCAGUGGUUAAGAAUCCACUUCCCAUGCAGGGGAUGUGGGUUCGAUCCCUGGUCAGGGAACUAAGAUCCCACAUGCCACGGGGCAACUAAGCCUGUGCACUGUAGAGCCCGUGAGCCACGACUAGACAGCCCUGCACGCUGCAACUACUGAGUCCAUGUGCUCUGGAGGCUGUGCACCACAAUUAGAGGGAAACCCACACGCCGCAACAAAAGAUCCCGUGUGCCACAACUAAGACCUGAUGCAGCCAAAUAAAUAUUUUUUUUAAAAAAGGAGAUAAUUUAUAAUAUGUCUAAACACUUUUUACAAUUACCAUGACAUAAUGUUGAAAAUAAGACCUACUCAACAAUAACAAAGGGAAAAACUAAGUUUAAUGGAUAUUGAACAUAAUACUAGCUAUCAUUUAUAGAUAUACGCCAGGUAAAAAGCGAGAUGCUUUUCGCAUGUUAUGUUAUUGCUCUAACAGUCUCCUGCAACACAAUCUCCUUAUUUUGUUAAUGAGAAAACUAAGGCUCAGAGAAGUUGGAUAACUUGUCUAGUCACUUAGCUAGUAGGUCCUGGAGGGACAGAUCAGUCCUGUAUUAUAUUUAUAAUGUAUACCUUAUGCAGUUUUCAGUACAUUGUGCAUAUUAAAAAAGUUCUGUCAGCUAGACAUGGAUGAUACUGUAUUUUAAAAUUAACAUACCAUUACAUUUGAAGGUCUCUCACUGUCAACAUACAGGCUGCCAGUCAUUUAACUGCAUUAACAUUAAAGAUACUAAGGGGGCUUCCCUGGUGGCGCAGUGGUUGAGAGUCCGCCUGCCGAUGCAGGGGACAUGGGUUCGUGCCCCGGUCUCGGAAGAUCCCACAUGCUGCGGGGCAGCUGGGCCCGUGAGCCAUGGCCACUGGGCCUGCGCGUCCGGAGCCUGUGCUCCGCAAUGGGAGAGGCCACAACAGUGAGAGGCCCGUGUACCGCAAAAAAAAAAAAAAUAAAGAUACUAAAAUGAGACCAUAGAUAUUUUCUGUCUACGAUACAUAUCCUCUAAACAAGUAUGUAGUGAACUGUGGUCUCCUUUAGGUGAGACUGCCAAACAUGAUCAAGUAAAUAGCUUAUUCUCAAAAAACUGUCCCUCUUGCUUUUUAAAACAAACUGAACAACUGCUUCCAAUGAGCCUAAAUUACCUGGAUCCCAACAGUCAAGAACUGUUGUUAAAGCACUACGGAGAAGGUCAGUCCAAGCAGUAUGGCUCUUUUCUGCUCGGGCCAUGGGAGAAGAUAAUAUUCCUUUCAGAGCCUGCAGGGAAGCUGCAACUGUUGAAGAUAGCUGGCCCCCAGGUAACUUCACAGCAGUUUCUCUGAGGACUCCAAUUGUGAGGUACAGUAUAGUAGGGAGGAUUGAGAUGCUUCCUGUAAUGUUUUUAAAAAACACUGUUUCAGUCUAUAUACAGUUCCUCAAAGGAAAUCACCAAAUGAGUUAGAUAAUGUCAAAGAUUUCUAGCUUUUAAGAUUAUUCUCCAUUAGGGAUUAUAACUGUUAAGAUAAUUUAAAUAACUUUAAGAUUUUAAAGGGUGGAUUAAAUUUUGGCUAUAAUUGGAGAUGUUAUUUAAAGUAUAUCACAGUACCAUUAUCCAUUGCUGUGUUAUUUUGUUUUAUUUGGUAGCUGACAAACAUUGAAUUUAUUUUUACUUUUUAGUGUGGUAAAAUAUAUGGAACAAAAAAUUUACCAUUUUAAUCAUUUUUAAUAGUUCAGUGGCAUUAAGUACAUUCACAAUGUUGUGCAACCACUAUCACUAUCCAUUUGGAUUUUAUAUUAAACCCUUUUGAAGCAAUUUGUAGUGAAUCACUCAGUACAAAAUAUUAAAGUUUCCAUGGCCACUAAGUAGUUAAAAAGUCACUUUGUUUAAAGUGAAAGAGAAGAGACUAAAGCUAAAAUAGUCAAUCAAUUUUCCCAGAGGCUAUCAAUAAAACUCAUAUCGUAUAUUUUUGCCCCCAAUCCUCUGCUAGUCACUUUUUCUGCUACUAUUGGUAUAAGACAGUGUGUGAGAACAAGGAAUACAGGUUUAAAAGUCAAACUGAAGCUUAAAGUCAUGUUAAAAAUAGGACAGAAUGUAAGUUGGUCAAGACACAUUUAAGCAGAAAUAAGCUUACCAAUUAAGAAGUAUCUAUUAAAUACUGAGUCCCUAUUAUGUACUAGAGGAUACAAAAUUUCACUGGAAACAAGACAUAUGUCUGUAUAUAUAUUUAUCUUCUCUUUCUAUAAUAAUCAAUUACAUAUACCUCUAUAUGACACAUAAAAACUACAUAUCUACAUAUGGAAGCUACACACACACACACACACACACACACACCAAACAAACAAACAAACAAAAAGAAAAACAAAACAAAACUCAAUAUGAGCCAGAGUUUUUAGGGAAGCCUUCACAGAUGAGGUAGGACUGGAGCUGAACUUGAAAGGAAGGCAAAAUUUUACAAAGGAGAGAAGGGGUGGGGUCAUUUCAGAUCAAGUAACACCAUCGACAAUAGUACAGAACAGGGAUAUGCAUGAAGCCUCCUGGGUUUAAGGUUCACACAGAAGGAAUCAGGAGGCAGUUGUACUCUGCAGAGCCUUAAACACUAUAUUAAAAGCAUGGACUUGAUUCAAAACAGAACUGGAUAUGAUGAGAAGCUUCUGUUGUCACUGAGGCAGGGAAAGUCCAUUAGAUACUGUAUACCAAAAAAUGCCCAAGAGCUAGUAAUUGCCAUCGAUGGGUUUACAAUAUUCUCAACCAUGGAAGAGACUAUCUAUGUAGAGUACAUGCUGUCUCUGUAUUUACUUUCACCCUUUUAGUAAAACAGAUUACUGGAAUAUUGUAAUGUUAACCUUAGAGGAUUAAAGACCAUAUUGCAAAGCUUUGGGGGUCAGCGUUUGUGUAAUGAGGAAAAGAUAAGCAACCAUUACCUCCAUCAUCUAUCAAAACCAUUUCUGUCCUUCCAGGUCAAGUAAAGCAAAUCAAACACCACAACAUACCUUCAGGAGAGCACACUGCAGGAAGUUCAGAGAGGAUAACUAAUGCAGCGGAAACCAACCUACUUCCAUCUUCUGACAGCAUCUGUGGCUUUGUAGCUUUUACUCCUGGGCUACCUGUCAAUUUAGGAUUUAGCUCUGGGAGCUGUCUAACUAGAAUGCAUACACACAAUUCCAGUGUUGCAAAGACCAAAGAUUUCCCAGGCACAAGUCCUCCUGUGUCCUUUCCCUCUCCAAAUUCUGGCAAGGUUUCCUUUUCAGCAGCCCCAUCAUCAACUAAAAGACAAAAAGAACAAUGUUGAAUAAAUGCUUCAGGUUUGUUUUGCUUCUGGUAGAUGGCAGUUUAGUUCAUUUCUGUUGUAGGUAACACAUUUAAAUGGGUGAAGUCUUGGGUCUUAAAGUUAAAGAGAAAGUUAUGGAGGUAAAAGUAGUUGUCUUAUGUGGACUUCUUAUUGCAAUGGAUCAAAAGAAAUCCUCGGUGAUCUUCUCAGCCUUAAAAUAUUGUCUGGUUAACUCCUUGCUGUUAAGGUGUGAACCUGAUAGCUAGAGCUCCAGCACUGACCUUACCACCUUAAUAUUGGUAGUGGCUGGGCAGAAAGAUAGGAACUGAGGUCCCUGAUGUCUUUAAGAAGCUGCCAUCUCAGCCCAGGACUGCCAACUUCUGGACUUCUUUUAGAUGAGAGAAUAAGUCCUCGUGUUUUAAAUCUACUGUUAUAUUGGAUUUUCUGUUAUAGGUAGUCAAAUGUAAUCUUAAGUGAUAAACUCACCAAUACCAAAUUUGACUUGUAAAUGAACAAUUUAAUCACUUUGCAAAACUUAAGUUAUUAAAGAAUUGUCAGUAGUUCUUUCCAUGUACAUUGGUAAACACUUAAAAGUAGGUACUCAAUCAGUAUAAAGAAUUUUUUUUCCUUCCAGGGCUGUUAAAAUUCUAAUUUUCCCAAGAAUAGUAGUUUAGCUACUGACAACAUCCAAGCUAACACGAAGAGGUGCAUGAGAGGAUUUGAAGCCAUACCUAGAGAUUUGUACUAUACACAAUAGAUUCUCAGAACGACAUAGACACAUAAGCAAUAUUUUAAAAAAUAAUGAUGCCGUGUGAUUAAUUUGGCAUUAUAGGAACAUUCACCUUCUGCACUUCGUCUUUUCUCCUUCACAUGUUCUUGAGCUGCACAGAUAAUCUGCCUUACCACUUCAAGAGAAGCCAGCUGAAUGGAAGGUGAUUCUCGGGUCAAAAUUACUCGAUGUAGUACAUUCAACAACUCGAUACCCAAGUCCUAUCACAGAAAACAGGUUUUUUUGGCUACUAUGCAUGUGGGAUCUUAGCUCCCCAACCAGGGAUCAAACCUGCACCCCCUGCAUUGGAAGGCGAAGUCUUAACCACUGGAUCACCAAGGGAGCUGGGAGGCAAAUUCUGAAGGCAAAGUUAGGAGAGCAAAAUCCUGAAGCGCAGCAAGCCAGAGCCUACUUAAUGUGCCAAGAUCUGCGUGGACUAAGUCAAGCAGCCCGUCUGAUGAAAUCGACCCGUUUCCGACACUCUCUUCUGAACAGAUGUGAUGGAGCCUGCUAACCAACUGGUGAACUGCUCUGGAUUCCCUAACUGCCAGCCAUCAGAAGCUGCCUUUGAAUCAUGAGAGGCUGCUUAAUGCACCAGUCAAAAAAACACCAGUUAAAAAGCUUACAGAGGGCUUCCCUGGUGGCGCAGUGGUUGAGAGUCCGCCUGCCGAUGCAGGGGACACGGGUUCGUGCCCCAGUCCGGGAAGAUCCCACAUGCCGUGGAGCAACUAAGCCUGUGCGCCACAACUACUGAGCCUGUGCUCUAGAGCCCAUUCGCCACAACUAAUGAAGCCUGUGCGCUCUAGGGCCAGCGUGCUGCAACUACUGAAGCCCGCGUGCCUAGAGCCCAUGCUCCGCGACAAGAGAAGCCACUGCAAUGAGAAGCCUGUGCACUGCAACGAAGAGUAGCCCCUGCUCGCAACAAUCAGAGAAAGCCCGCGCACAGCAAUGAAGACCCAACGCAGCCAAAAAUAAAUAAAAUUAAAAAAAAAAAAAAGAACAAUGCCUAUUCCACAGGGUUAUUGUUAAAGGUUAACUUAGUAAAUGAAUGUUAAUUUUUUAAAAAAGCCCUUUAUUCCCCCAAAAUUACCAAAAAGGUUUUAAUUAUGAAAAUUAACCUUUAGUGUUGUAAAAGACCUGUUUUAUGUA